rnacentral:rRNA from 1 species
GAUGAACGCUAGCGGGAGGCCUAACACAUGCAAGUCGAACGGUAGCACAGAGAGCUUGCUCUCGGGUGACGAGUGGCGGACGGGUGAGUAAUGUCUGGGAAACUGCCUGAUGGAGGGGGAUAACUACUGGAAACGGUAGCUAAUACCGCAUAACGUCGCAAGACCAAAGAGGGGGACCUUCGGGCCUCUUGCCAUCAGAUGUGCCCAGAUGGGAUUAGCUAGUAGGUGGGGUAACGGCUCACCUAGGCGACGAUCCCUAGCUGGUCUGAGAGGAGCACCAGCCAAACUGGAACUGAGACACGGUCCAGCCUCCUACGGGAGGCAGCAGUGGGGAAUAUUGCACAAUGGGCGCCAGCCUGAUGCAGCCAUGCCGCGUGUAUGAAGAAGGCCUUCGGGUUGUAAAGUACUUUCAGCGGGGAGGAAGGCGAUAAGGUUAAUAACCUUGUCGAUUGACGUUACCCGCAGAAGAAGCACCGGCUAACUCCGUGCCAGCCGCCGCAGUAACAC